CAUAUGGAGAGUUUGAUCCUGGCUCAGAACGAACGCUGGCGGCGUGGAUUAGGCAUGCAAGUCGAACGAGAAUCUGAGAGUUCAAGUUUUCGGACAAGAACUUUUGGAGGAAAGUGGCGGAAGGGUGAGUACAACAUGGAUAAUCUACCUUCAAGUUGGGUAUAGCUUCCCGAAAGGGGAGAUAAUCCCGAAUGUGGUGAUCCGGCGCAUGCCGGAGAAUCCAAAGGCGGGGACCGCAAGGCCUG
rnacentral:rRNA from 1 species